UGCCAGCCGCCGCGGUAAUACGAAAGGUGCAAGCGUUAAUCGGAAUUACUGGGCGUAAAGCGCGCGUAGGCGGUGUGUUAAGUCGGAUGUGAAAGCCCAGGGCUCAACCUUGGAAUUGCAUCCGAUACUGGCACGCUAGAGUGCAGUAGAGGGAGGUGGAAUUUCCGGUGUAGCGGUGAAAUGCGUAGAGAUCGGAAGGAACACCAGUGGCGAAGGCGGCCUCCUGGACUGACACUGACGCUGAGAUCCCUAAGCGUGUGGGUCAAACCGGGUUAGAUG
rnacentral:rRNA from 1 species